rnacentral:miRNA from 14 species
AUAUAUAUAUAUAUAUAUAUAUAUAUAUAUAUAUAUAUAUAUAUAUAUAUACAUAUAUAUACAUAUAUAUACACACACACACAUAUAUAUAUGUAUAUAUAUAUAUA